rnacentral:rRNA from 1 species
CCUACGGGAGGCAGCAGUGGGGAAUAUUGGACAAUGGGCGCAAGCCUGAUCCAGCCAUACCGCGUGGGUGAAGAAGGCCUUCGGGUUGUAAAGCCCUUUUGUUGGGAAAGAAAAGCAGUCGAUUAAUACUCGGUUGUUCUGACGGUACCCAAAGAAUAAGCACCGGCUAACUUCGUGCCAGCAGCCGCGGUAAUACGAAGGGUGCAAGCGUUACUCGGAAUUACUGGGCGUAAAGCGUGCGUAGGUGGUUGUUUAAGUCUGUUGUGAAAGCCCUGGGCUCAACCUGGGAAUUGCAGUGGAUACUGGGCGACUAGAGUGUGGUAGAGGGUAGUGGAAUUCCCGGUGUAGCAGUGAAAUGCGUAGAGAUCGGGAGGAACAUCCAUGGCGAAGGCAGCUACCUGGACCAACACUGACACUGAGGCACGAAAGACGUGGGGAGCAAACAGGAUUAGAUACCCUGGUAGUCCACGCCCUAAACCGAUGCGAACUGGAUGUUGGGUGCAAUUUGGCACGCAGUAUCGAAGCUAACGCGUUAAGUUCGCCGCCUGGGGAGUACGGUCGCAAGACUUGAAACUCAAAGGAAUUGAGG